ACGAACGCUGGCGGCGUGCUUCACACAUGCCAGUCGAACGGAAAGGCCCUUCGGGGUCCUCGAGUGGCGAACGGGUGAGUAACACGUGGGUGAUCUGCCCUGCACUUUGGGAUCAGCCUGGGAAACUGGGUCUAAUACCGAAUAGGACCACGCGCUUCAUGGUGUGUGGUGGAAAGCUUUUGCGGUGUGGGAUGGGCCCGCGGCCUAUCAGCUUGUUGGUGGGGUAAUGGCCUACCAAGGCGACGACGGGUAGCCGGCCUGAGAGGGUGACCGGCCACACUGGGACUGAGAUACGGCCCAGACUCCUACGGGAGGCAGCAGUGGGGAAUAUUGCACAAUGGGCGCAAGCCUGAUGCAGCGACGCCGCGUGAGGGAUGACGGCCUUCGGGUUGUAAACCUCUUUCACCAGGGACGAAGCGUAAGUGACGGUACCUGGAGAAGAAGCACCGGCCAACUACGUG
rnacentral:rRNA from 1 species